CCUUCAGCCUCUGUCCCACUGAAUGCCAGGGGGCUGUCACAAUUACAGGAAAACCAAAAGUCUGCUACCUCCCAGACUCCUAGACACUCAAAGGUCACUUAGGGAGCAGCACCUGGGACACAAGCUCUGGAAGAUGAGGAAGGAUGAUGUAUUUAGGGUGGUCCUUGACAAGUGGGGUCUCAUCCAGAGGAAGGAAUCAGAAUGAUGAGGGAACUGAAAGAUCAUGGGAGGAACAGGAGGCAGAAGGCGGUUCAGUGAAUAGAAGUUAUACAGCAGCAGAUUUUGGGUCAAUGUGAGGAGGAGCUUUCAGAUAAUUAAUUGUGCCAAAAAAGAAAGAAUGACUCAGAAGGGAGGGAGCAUCUCAUCACUACAGAUUUUCAGUUUGGGUUUUGUUCUGUUUCUGGAAUCUCUCUUUUCCUAAUCAUCUCCAGACCGCUCCAAAUCCAACUCCUCUCCACUGGACAAUUGGACUCCACCACUGGAACCACCCUAGGCUUUGAGAGGCAUGAAAGAUGCCUUCACCUGGAGGAGACUCCUGUGACUCCUGGACCAAAGGAUUAGCGCUAACUGAAGGUCCUCUGGCACCACCAGAAGAGGAUGGGGAAGGGAAUUGUGCCGUUGAUGCAAUCACAGAACUUGAGGCUACACCAUGAAAGCUACAGAAGGAGCAGGGCUAACCAUGAGAACUUAGACUUUAUGGCCAAGGUGGUGAGGGGAAAUGGAGCAUUAGGAGCAUCAGCCUAAAUGCUGGGUUGCCUAGCCCUCUCUUCCCCAGUCCCAUCUCCUUCAUACUGCAAAUGCAAAAGAUUGUGAGUGAUUGCCCCCUUUUCCCCAAAUCUCCAUUACCCCACCCCUGUCCCGGAAGGGUGGGACUAUUUCCUGAAAGUUAUCUCCAUUUUUUAAAAGAGUUUAUGAUUUGUGUGUACACUCUGUGCUUUAAGUGUUAAAAGUCAUUAACUCUUGAAUUGCUAAUAUAUGUAUAUCCUUGCUCAAGUAGAGAAAGGCCAGGAGGGAGCAGCUGGAAGAAGCUAUAAAUCUACCACCAUAGUGUUUUCUAGAAUGAUUGCUUGCUUAGGAUGCACAGUUAAAGAAAGAAAAACCAUCCAUUCAUUUUUCACAGCACUUUGCAGAGGCAAAAGAAAGACAUCUUCAGGGACUUUGUCUAGGCUGGUGAUUCUUAACCUAUGAUAAGCAUCCCCAAUGGGGAGGGGGUUAAAUUCCCCAAUGGAUUUCAGAGACCCAUGAAAUUGGAUUGGGGAUAAUUA